GGCAUUAUAGUGUAGUGGUCUAUCACUCGGGAUUUUGACAUCGCUACUCAGUGAUGAAUAACUUCCCGAAACCCAGGUUCGAACCCUGGUAAUGCCU